rnacentral:rRNA from 1 species
UCAGGACGAACGCUGGCGGCGUGCUUAACACAUGCAAGUCGAACGGUGAAGCCCUUCGGGGUGGAUCAGUGGCGAACGGGUGAGUAACACGUGAGCAACCUGCCCCUGACUCUGGGAUAACUACCGGAAACGGUGGCUAAUACCGGAUAUGACCUGCUCGGGCAUCUGAGUGGGUGGAGAGUUUUUCGGUUGGGGAUGGGCUCGCGGCCUAUCAGCUUGUUGGUGGGGUGAUGGCCUACCAAGGCGACGACGGGUAGCCGGCCUGAGAGGGCGACCGGCCACACUGGGACUGAGACACGGCCCAGACUCCUACGGGAGGCAGCAGUGGGGAAUAUUGCGCAAUGGGCGAAAGCCUGACGCAGCGACGCCGCGUGGGGGAUGAAGGCCUUCGGGUUGUAAACCUCUUUCAGCGCCGAAGAAGCGAAAGUGACGGUAGGCGCAGAAGAAGCACCGGCUAACUACGUGCCAGCAGCCGCGGUAAUACGUAGGGUGCAAGCGUUGUCCGGAAUUAUUGGGCGUAAAGAGCUCGUAGGCGGUCUGUCGCGUCUGCUGUGAAAACUCGGGGCUUAACUCCGGGCUUGCAGUGGGUACGGGCAGACUAGAGUGCGGUAGGGGAGACUGGAAUUCCUGGUGUAGCGGUGAAAUGCGCAGAUAUCAGGAGGAACACCGGUGGCGAAGGCGGGUCUCUGGGCCGUAACUGACGCUGAGGAGCGAAAGCGUGGGGAGCGAACAGGAUUAGAUACCCUGGUAGUCCACGCCGUAAACGUUGGGCGCUAGGUGUGGGGUCCGUUCCACGGGUUCCGUGCCGCAGCUAACGCAUUAAGCGCCCCGCCUGGGGAGUACGGCCGCAGGC